UACAGAGGGUGCAAGCGUUAAUCGGAAUUACUGGGCGUAAAGCGUGCGUAGUCGGCUUUUCAAGUCGGGUGUGAAAGCCCCGGGCUCAACCUGGGAAUUGCAUUCGAUACUGGAUCGCUAGAGUUCGGCAGAGGGAAGUGGAAUUUCUGGUGUAGCGGUGAAAUGCGUAGAUAUCUGGAGGAACACCGGUGGCGAAGGCGGCAUCCUGGACCAAUACUGACGCUGAGGAGCGAAAGCCAGGGGAGCAAACGGG
rnacentral:rRNA from 1 species